rnacentral:lncRNA from 1 species
CUCUCUGCUCUUCCCCAGCCUGCGCUGCUCCAGCUCCACGUGCGCCCGGGGAUGCAAUGCAGCCCUGCAGACAAGCGUCUCCGGCAGGACGUGGGCCGCGGGUCUCGGAGCCUCCUUCACUUAGGUACAAACAAUCGUCGCCGCAGGGGCCGGACCCCAGUCCGAGCUCCGAGGUGCGGUGAGCAGCCACCCCACUAAAGGGGGCGUGUGAGGAUGGCGGAAAGCGGCAGGGAGGUGGGCGGGGCUGCAACACCUGGGCCAGGUGCGUCACGGGAAAUCCGGCCCACUUCGUUCAGGGACUUCUGGAGUUCUAGUCCUCCAACCUCUCAAAACCCUAGAACCUCCACCGGGUCCCAGCCUCGCCCCUCACCCGCUGCGGGGAUCCUCCCUUCGCGCCCGAUCCAGCUGCGCUCUUCGCUUCCGCCACCGGAGGGAGCCAUUGGCCGCCGAUCUGGGCCCAGGGUCGCUUUGCACCGUCUGAUGCCCGCUUUCUUGCCUCCCUGCAGUGUUCUCACUUCCAGCAGAAAUCCUAGAGCCUAUGAACUCUACUGAGAGCUGAGACUCCUUCUUCACUCUUUACAGAUCCCAUGAACAGCAGUACCACCUGCCAACGCGUCCUCAUAUGUAAAAUGGGCAUAAACUCGAACCUCCCUCCUAA